rnacentral:lncRNA from 1 species
GGUUUUUCCAACAUGAGUUUAUAUGGAGGAGUUUUAUGAGGAUAGGUGAUCUCCAUGCCAGUAAUGAAUCGAACCCGGAUGAAAAAACAAAAGGACUGAUGAGCAAAAGAGUAAUCCAAGCGCCAGCGUUGAUGUUAUAAAAAUCUCUCAACCGAGACCAGCCAUGAGUGAAAUAUAUUUCUGAAUUGUUCUUUUUGAGUACAGAUACUUGGAUUUGGUUUUCGUUGAUGUCCUGUAAAAAAAAUGUAUCACCAAUGUACUGACCAACAACACGUG